CAAUAGCGUAUAUUAAAGUUGUUGCAGUUAAAAAGCUCGUAGUUGGAUUUCUGGUAGGAGCGACCGUGCCGAACUUGAUUGUUCGAGUAUUGUGUUGUCUUCAGCCAUCCUCGUGGAGAACUUUUCUAACAUUAACUUGUUGGGAUUGGGACCCGCGUCGUUUACUGUGAAAAAAUUAGAGUGUUUAAAGCAGGCAUUAGCUUGAAUACAUUAGCAUGGAAUAAUAAGAUAGGACUUCGGUACUAUUUUGUUGGUUUGCAUACCAAAUUAAUGAUCAACAGGAACAGUUUGAGGAUAUUCGUAUGAACAUGUCAGAGGUGAAAUUCUUGGAUUUUGAUCAGACGAACUACUGCGAAAGCAUUUAUCAAGGAUGUUUUCAUUAA
rnacentral:rRNA from 1 species